GACUUUUAUUCCGCUCGUAUAUUCCUCAGCACAAACAAAUUGAUUUUUUUAUAAGAAAAAGCACCGUCACAAUUAUUUAUUCCUUGUUUAAUCUUUGGAUGCCGUCUUAAAUCUUGAUAUCCGCUCCCGAUAAAUAUUGGUGUCCGCGUUCAAGAUGAACCAAAAUAAAAAUAAAUUAAAAAAAAUUAUCUCUGGUUCUCUGCCAUGGCAACACCUCCCACCCCACUGGUGUUCGAGGUGUCUAGACGGGAACCAGUUCUGAUCACCCCUUCUGAGCCAACCCCACAUGAACUCAAACCUCUCUCAGACAUAGAUGACCAAGAUGGUCUCAGAGUCCAAAUUCCUCUCAUUUAUUUUUACCCUUACGAUCCUUCAAUGCAGAGGAGGGAUCCUGUUGAGGUCAUUAAGAAAGCACUUGCUAAAACACUGGUGUUUUACUAUCCAUUUGCCGGUAGGCUUAGAGAAGGGCCUAAGCGUAAGCUCUUAGUGGAGUGUACAGGUGAGGGUAUUUUGUUUAUUGAGGCUGAUGCCGAUGUUACGCUUGAGCAGUUUGGUGAUGAACUCUAUCCUCCAAUUCCUUGCCUGGAGGAGCUCCUCUAUGACGUGCCUGGCUCCAGCGGGAUGAUAAACUGCCCUCUGCUGCUUAUUCAGGUGACGCGUCUCAAGUGCGGCGGAAUUGUUUUUGCUAUCCGUCUGAACCACACCAUGAGUGACGGUACUGGCUUAAACCAGUUUUUGUCAGCCAUGUGUGAAAUGGUGCAUGGAGCACAGACUCCCUCUAUCCAACCAGUUUGGGAAAGGCACGUUUUAAAUGCAAGGAACCCACCUCAGGUAACCUGCUUACACCACGAGUAUGAUCAACUGGUUGAUGACACCACUGACAACAUUCCGCUUACUAAGAAGACCCAUCGUUCAUUCUUUUUUGGACCUGCUAACAUAUCUGCUAUUCGUGGCUUUGCCCCACUACACCUUCGCCAUUGCUCCACAUUUGAUGUAUUGACUGCGUUUUUGUGGAGGUGCCGAACCAUUGCACUUCAACCAAACCCAAAUGAUGAGAUGCGGAUACUAUGCACUGUCAAUGCUCGCAAUAGAUUUAACCCUCCCUUACCUAGAGGUUAUUAUGGAAAUUGCAUGGCAUACUCAGUGGCGAUGGCAAAAGCGGGAGAAAUCUCACGAAAUUCUUUAGGCUUUACGCUGGAAUUAGUCAGGAAGGCCAAGGCGAAUGUGACUGAAGAGUACAUGCGAUCAGUGGCUGAUCUACUGGUGAUUAAAGGUAGACCUUGGUACACAAUGGUGCGGUCUUACCUAGUGUCGGAUGUGACUCGUGCAAUGUUUGCAGAGAUGAACUUAGGUUGGGGUAAGCCGAAGUAUGCCGGGCCUGCUAAGGGUAAUGUGGCAAGCUUUCAGAUACCAUAUAGGACUAAGAAAGGAGAAGAUGGUGUUCUUGUGACCCUUUGCUUACCGACUCUGGCUAUGGAAAGAUUUGUGAAGGAGCUGGAUAGCACGUUUAAGGAGCAGUCAAAUGGUGGCGGCAAUGCUAAAUCCCCCUUAUCUUCCUUGUAGGGAAAAUAACUAUUUUUCCAAAUGAUAUAAAUGCAUGCCUAUUGUGUUCAUUUGCUUUGAGUUCAUGUGGAGAAUCUAUCUGGAUUUGUUUUUGGAUCAUGUUAACUAAGACACCGAGCACCAUCUUGGACAAGUCACUUGCUACAAUGGAUGGGCAGAGAAGCUGUUCUACAAGAACCUCCUAAUGGACGCAGCAGACUGGUUUCAUGAGGAUAUUCUUCAUUUUCUGACUGAAAAUAUGGUAAAAACCUUGCCUGUGUAGGAUUCUUGUU